GUUCGAGCUUUUGGAAAGAGAAGAGUUUAAAAGAAUUAAGAGCCUUCAGUAUGUUAAUGUAUCCUUAGGAAUUAGUUUCUCCCCCUGAUAAGCUGCAGACUUAUUUAAAGUAAGACUAAAUUACCAUGGAAGCAUGGAAUUGUUAAGGUUGGAAAAGACCUGGAAAGAUUAUCAAUUCCAACUGUCAGCCAUAGCUGCUGUUGUUUCCUUUGUAAGGUUUGAGAUGAUACAUACAAUAAAGCCAUGAAUUCAUAGAAGCACAACACACAGUUGGAAGUUCAACUAUUAAUAUUUAUAGAAUUUACCUGAGAGGUUGCAACAGGUUCUCUAUUAGUCAUGCUCAUGUUGGUUGGACCUGAAAAUGUAGUGGUCAGUGUGGCCACCAUGCCACUAGCAAGCUACGGUGUACUAAAUACUGCAAGUUCAGCCUUUCAUGAAACUUAAAAGGAAAACAGACUCAGAAUAAAAGUAGAACUUUAUCAUAAAGGCGAUGGCUAUAGUUUGUCUCUGAGUAUUCUUUGUCUAUAAUUUAAGUUAUUAGCAGCUAUACAAAUUAGAUAAAUAGUUAGCUUCCAAAGCCCAUUUAUUAAUGACAGAAUACUUUUUUUCAUUGGAAAUGCUAAGUUCAAUAUAUUUUCCAUAUGCUUUUUUCCCAACUUGGAUAUAAGAUGAAAUGCUAAUGUAACUAAGACACAUGCACAGGCCUGCACAAUGAAAUGUUACUGGUAGUCAACUAUUUGUCAUGAAAUACAUCAUUACUUUAUUUUGUAAAAGAAAACUCCUCCCUCCUCAACUGCAUUGUAAAAUAUUAGUGACAUUAUGUUUAUCAGCACCACUGAAAGAUUAGAAAUUAUUACCUCCUACUCAACAGCAGGGGCUGAAAGCUUCCUUUGUCUGUUGCAAAAAAUAUAUUUUGAGGGGGAAACAUCAACUGUUGUAGAGAUUAAAUUUUUGACAACUAUUUUUUCCUCCCCCGCUCCAAAAGCGCAUGUAUACGUAGACAAACAUUUGCCAUUUGAGUGAUAUAUUCUUUUCCCAAGUAUGAAAGAGGUAAAACACAACCAUAUUUACUGUGAGCAACCUUUACUUAGGUUUGCAAUAUAAAAAGUUCUCAUAGUGUCCAUAUACUAACUCUUAUUGUAAAUUUGUUUUAGCCAUUGCAGGAAAUGAGAGUUUGUAGCCAGCUAAUUAGUAUUUUCUUAAUGACUUAUGUUUGAAUUUUAAUGCUGAAAAGCAGCCUCUGAAAGUGCUAUGUAUGCAGUUCAGCAAUGUAGACUUGAAAUGAACAAAUGGUUGAGUAUUUCACAUUCUGGCCUGGAGUGAAGAACAAAGCAUGCCCUGUUUUGAAAGCUACUUCAGCACAUGCUUAAGCAUAUAGAGAAUUUCUACUCUCUGGUAGCUUUGAGAUAGAAGUGAAGGAAAUGGAAGAAGUGCAUAGCUGUGUAUCUUUUACCACCAUGUGAGAUCGAGGGCAUACUGCAUCAGACAAUGCUAAUGGGGAGAGACAAUUAAAAGCCUCAUUUGUCCUUACUAAAUCCAGUCCUGAUGAGGAAUCCAUGCCAUGUUCUAAUUCAGGAGAGGAAAAGCCUUUCCUUUGAAUGAUAGAAGAUUAGGUUGGAAUGGUCUUCUGGUGUUUACGUAUUCCAAUCAAAGUCGGGCCAACUGUGAGGUUACACCAAAUUGCUCAGGGUUUGUCAUGCUGAGUUUUGAAAGUUUCCAAGGAUGGUGAUUCUACAGUGAAUUCUGCCAGUAGAUAUAUAUAUAUAUGUAUUCUCUGCCCCACCAAGAGUGGCCACCUUUCUAAGUUUUGGGCACCAUGAUACAGGAGGGACAAGAAACUAUUAGAGAGCAUCCGAAGGAGGGCUACAAAGAUGGUGAAGGAUCUAGAAUGCAAGAUGUAUGAGGAGCGGUUGAGAUCCCUUGGUUUGUUCGGCUCAGAGCACAGGAGCUGAGCAGAGGCCUCAUGGCAGCUGCAGCUUCUCACAGGGAGCGGAUGGACAGCGCUGAGCUCUGCUCUAUGUGACAGCUACAGGGCCAGAGGGAAUGGCAUGGAGCAGUGUCAGGGGAGGGGCAGAUGGAGGUCAGGGAGAGGUUCUGCUCCAGAGGGUCGUGGGCGUAGAACAGGCUGCCAGGGCAGUGGGCAUAGCCCCGAGCUGCCAGAACUCAAGGAGCAUUUGAACACUGCUCUCAGACAUAGGGUUUAGGUGGUCCUGUGUGGAAGCAAGAUUUGGAUUUGAUGAUCCUCUUGGGUCCCCUUCAAGCUCAGGAGAUUUUAUGAUUCUUUGUGAUUUAUGGUGCUGGAACAAGUUGCGUAGUGAUGUGGUUGAUGUUCUGUUCCCGGAGACUGUCAAGGCAAGGCUGGAUAAAGCCCUGGGCAACCUGAUCUAGCUGUGGUGUCCCUGUUCAUUGCAGGGGAGUUGGACUAGAUGGCCUUCAGAAGUCCUUUCUAAGUCUAGUGUUUCUAUGAUUCUCUGUUUUUGCUUUUUUUAAUGCAACCUUCUGAUAAGAGUCAAACUUGGAUCCUGUGGGAGUAAGCACAACUCCCAUUUUUCAGAGUUUUCACUGGCACAAGAAUGAUGCUUUCUUCCUCUUUUACACUGAACUGUGUCAGGUUUGAUGAUGCUGAGGAUGUCAGUGUAUUAUUUCCCUUCUGCAUGCAUGAAGCCCACCCAUCUGAUGCUGAAGCUGUGGCUAUCAUUCGCAUUCAGUCAGAUUCAAAGUAUCUGGUAGUCUGAUUCUGCACUGUUUGAGGUCAGUGACAAAACAGUGACUGGUUACUAAGUUACUAUAGUGGCAGGAAAGAAAGAAGAGGAUUUACUGACUGUCUAGUUUUCCUCCCAAGUUCACUUUAACAAUGCCAGUCCCUGUUCAAUGCGACCUGGAAUGGCAGUGCAAAACAAAAACCUUUCUUCUAUCUCCUUCCUUUUAAUUCCUCAAGAUUUCUUUCCUCCAAUAGGAAUAAUCAGUAAUUUGUUUUCAUUUGACAUUUCAAAAGCUAAACCCCAGACCAAACCUUUAAUUGCAUCCUUUUAAAGGCCAUACAGUAGUGUUAAGCUAAGUAGUAAUGAGUUCAAAAAGGAUCUGAAAGUCUUUGCUGAGAACAGCAUCUCUGACCUUGUAGACUCAACUGUACUGGGCAAGAAACUGUGAUUUAUGCCUUUAUAGAAAACAUACUAUUUGCAUCUUAUUAGGGCUCCCUGCGAAGGAAAAAAAUGUUGUGGAGACCAGGAAAUUUCUUGAAGUGCUUUACCUGGAGGUCAGUGGAAGUUAGUUCAUAAAUGAAGAAAUUCCACAUACAUUUUGAUGCUAAAAUUGUGACAACUUAUGAAGUUUGAUAUUACUGUAUCUUCCUGUGGAUGGUGAUUUUUUUUUUUGAAGUGGUGAACAUAUUUUCCAAGAAUACUGUAUACAUUUGUAACAUGUAUGUUUGUGCCAAUAAAUCUCGUUUUAAGUAGAUGCUUUUUGUUUUGUUUCUAUUCUGAAUACACACAGUUAAGCAGAGUUAAACAGUUUCAGCUUUCAUUCCCUCUUUGUGUUAUGUGUACUUCCAGAAAUUAAGAUUUUCUAAUUCACUCUGAAUUUUUAUAUAUGUAUAAUUUAUAUAUUAAUUUACAUAUUCUUAUAUAUUCACUCUAACAGAAAAGUAAAAAAAAACUUCUGUUGUAAAACAGCAAUGAACUCCAUGUACAAAAAAAAAAGGAGAAGGGAAGCAGUGGAGACAGUAGUAUAAUCAUUAAAGAAUUGUCAUUAAAGAGAAGCACACGAGAAAAUGCAUUUAUUACAUUUGACCUUAUUCUUACAUUUCCCCAUAGAGAAAUAUAUUCUCCUGUUAAUAAAGCCCAGUUAACUAAGGGAACUCACUGCCACAGAGUUUUGCUAGUUCAGGAAUUGUGUGUGGAGAAAGAAGGGUUUUUUUCCUUUUUUUUUUUUUUUUUUUUUUUUUUUUUUUUUUUGUGAGUGGGAUACAGACUCUCAGGAUUGUCUUCUACCUUAACCUGAAACAGCUGAUGCUUGCAACUGGUGUGAUGGCUUAAUGGGGCACUAACCAUUACCAUCCUUAUCACUAAUGAGUAAUUAAGCUCUUAGAAGGGACAAGAGUUGGAAGCUGCUUUUGUCCCCUCCUAGUGACCACACCUAUAUGUUUAAAUAUAUAAGCAUCACAGAUAGGUAGAUAAUUCUAGAUAGCUCUAUGCCUUCGUGCAUAUGAGAUAUCAUUCAAUAGUUUUAAACUGCCUGCAAAUCAUCUCAAUGCAUGUGAAGGGUACGGUCAUCUCCCCACCUAGACACACCAGAACAGGCUAUACCAAAACGUGACAGUGCUGUUUUAGUAAAGCAACAGCUUUUUCCUUGGUAACUCGUAGCACACCUGGCAAUAAACUGGGGGCACUAUGACUCCAUAAGAAGCUAGGAAAAAGUAAUUAUUGAUUUCUUUCAUACAAUGCAUAUUCUCAUCUACGUGAAGUAGCAUAUAAGGACUGAAUACAGUGAAUUAUGUUGUGUGGUGCAUGUAAAUGUGACAUUGAAGAACACAGGAAACUGAUCAAAGCCAAAAUAAGGCUUACACUAAUAAUGAAGAAAUACUCAGUUCUCUUACAGUCAGGUUAGGUAGUUAGCUCAGUUUUGCUGAAAGACAAUGGUUCCAUUUCCCACUUUCUAGCUUACAGGGAACUCUAAUAAGUGAUGAAAUCAAGUAAAAAUGAAAUUAUAUGUAGUGGAGAGAUUAAGGGGAAGAUAGCAGGACUAGUAAGUUUAUAUGAAAAAUCAAAUGUAUUUUUGCAUGCUGUCUGAAUAGCAGUUUUGCAUAAUUCAUGGAAGUUCAGGGAGAAAAAAGGGCUGUUUUUCAGGAGUUACUAAGUUAACGGGGUGAACAGCUCUGGGACUUGUUUAUGUUUUGGAAUGUAGUUCAAAGACAAAACAAACCUUGAAGUGGCCGUAUAUACUUAGCUUUCUGAGCUGAACUACAUGGAGGUAAGUGAACGAACAAGAUGCUUUUAAGUGCUCCUGACAUAUUUAAAAUUUCAAAGAUUUCAAGUCUCAUGAUUUAGGGAAAAAUAUAUAUAAAAAAAAAGGUUAGAACUGCAAUCUGAGGAUAGAAAAAUCUCUAAUCUUGAGAUUAUUCAAGCUCUAUAUGAAACAUAAGAUAGGCAGUGAUGAUAACUGUGACAAAAAAAAUAAAGCUUUUUUUGCUUUCUGAGAUCUUUCAAAUCUAGGAGAAUGUAACCUUGUAAUGGCACCUGUGAUUUGGGCAGUGAUUAUGAGAAGCUCUUACACCUGCAAACAUUAACACAUUUUACGAUGGGAAUUUCCUGGUAUCAAUGGCACUCAGUUAUUACUGUUUUAAAACAACUAGAAUGACUCUGCAGAAAUAACACCCUUUCUUUCUCCCUCAGCAUCUGAACAGUCUAAUUAUAAUUUAGCAGCCAUCAGCUGAACUGCUUAAUAAAUGCAGGUAAGCCUGGCUUUUCUACUUUCUGUUGGCCAUAUUACAGCUUUUUUCUGUUGCAUGGAGUCAGUGGAUUUGGGAAUUAAAUUUCUAGUGCUUAUCUAGGUUGUUCUUUUUACUAGAUGAUGUACAAUACAUAGUUACUUGCAUACUGUGGGUAAGCCUCAAAAAACACCUACUCCACAGUCUGGCUUCACCAGGAGCGUGGAAAGGAUGCCCGGAUAUGCAAGGAUGGAGUCAAGAAAGCCAAUGCACAGGCAGAAUUUAACUUGGUGAGAGAUGUGAAAAACAAGAAGGAUUUCUUUACAUGCAUUGGGAAGAAGAGACAAGCAAAGGAGAGUGUAUCCCCUCUAAUAAAUGAAAAGAGAGAGCUGGCCUCCUCUGAUAUGGAUAAGGCUGAGGUACAUAACAAGUUCUUUGCCUUGGUCUUCAUGGCCAGUCAAGUUUCUCAUGACUCUCAUGUCCCUGAAUUUCUAGGUGAGGGUCAGAGGAGCAAAAUCCCUCCCAGUGUAAGAGCAGAGCAAGUCUAAGACCACCUCAUGAGGCUGAAUGCAUACAUGUCUAUGGGGCCUGAUGGCACACAUCCCAGGGUUCUGAAGAAACUGGUUGAUGUGGUUGUUGAGCCGCUCUCCAUCACAUUUGAAAAAUCAUGUCUGUCAGGUGAAGUCUCUGGUGACUGGAAAAAGGGAAAUAUCACUCCCAUAUUCAAGAAAGGGAGGAAGGAAAACUUGGGAGACUACAGGCUAGUGAGCCUCCCAUCUGUGCCUGGGAAGAACAUGGAGUGGAUCCUGGAAGAGAUGUUAAGGCACAACUGAGAUGAGGAGGUGAUCCAAGACAGCCAGCAUAGCUGGCCAGAGAUUUUCAAGAAAUAUGUAGGCGUGGCACUUAGGUAUAUGGCUUAGUGGGUUUGGUGAGGACGGGCUGACUUGAAGCUCUUGUAGGUUUUUUCCAGCCUUAAUUAUUCUAUGAUUCUAUAGUUCAUGUCCUCCUUUGUCAUCCUAGCAGUCCAUUUCUGCACAUCUGCCAAUUCCACUACUUAUGACCAGGGCAGCAGUAAGUGUUCUCAUCCAAGUUGAGUGUGGCAAUUGAGGCACGGACUCGGUUGCUAGCGCAGGACCACGACCCUCUGUUGUACGUGCUUACAACCUUUUAUACCCAUGUAACAACCCCUUGGUCACAUGUCCUAAGGUCUUUUGUUAGUCAAAGUAUGGGGUUAGUCUGUUUUCCCACAUCUCCUCCUUCUUUAUUAGUUUGAACAACAAGCGCUUGGUUGAUCGCCUUAUUAAUAUAAUACAAGGAAUACAUACCAAAAAGCAUGCAAAAACCUGAAGACACAUUCACUGUUAUCUAAAACCUAUCUAUGUUUUCUCUAGAAAAUGUUAUCAGUGAUGGCACGCACGUUGCUUAUGUUGAGAAAUAAUAUUAACACAAACAGCAACCUCAGUAAACUGAAAACAUUUAGCAAGCUACCCUAUGAAGUUAUCUGGGAAGGAUAAUUUUACUAUCACCAUUUGUUUAAACAGUCAUAAAGCAAAUCACAACAAAUUUAACAUCUUCUGCUACUGAGCCGCUAAGGGAAAAGCACAAGUUGCCUGGGUGUAAGAUUCCCUGAGGUAGCUGUCGCAUUGCUUGACGCUGGUUACUGCCUGCAGUAUAAUUGCACCAAGUGGAUCCACAGCCCGGCUGCCUCCGUAAGCCUUCUCUGUACAAGUGACUCGGCUUUUGCUGCUGACACCCCCGGUUCCUACCGAUCCUGUACUAGGGGGGUGGUGUGUUGGCCUGUGGCGUUGGUGAGCGUAUUCUCUAUCGCCUUUUGUUGUGCAGAUUCUCUCCAAAAGCCCAUCCACAUCACGUACUGAGUACUUGUCAAAAAUCAAUUGUGCCAAAGUCUUGCAAUCACGAGGACAAAGAGUGUAACUUUUCAUAACAGAGCCCAACAGAUUACUGGUAUAGGGGGAGCUGAGCCCGAAUUCAAAGACCGCUUUCCGGAGCUCUUUUACUAUUUGAAAGCUUAUACCCUCCCAUUUGGGGCACCUAUUAGGUUCGUAAAUCACGGGGCAGGCGAGAGCCGAAUGCAAUCUCUGAACCAUGUCAAAGUCGUCGUCCCCUCCACCUCUUUGCGGAUCGCACACAAAUGUCACCCAGAUCUCCCACAAGUGAGGGCUCACUAAAUGCUUUAUGUGUUAGCACAAAGAUUCCAUUGCCUCUUUUAAAGUAAACUGAAAAAUCCUACAGGUAUGUUAGUAUUACUUACAACUGUAUUUAACGCUGUCAAUAUCACCUCUGCUUCCAUGGCAGUCAUCCUGAUACUAUAUCCAUUGUUUCACUUAUUCUCUUUCUCUUACUUCUGUAGUUUUGGGCAAUACAAAAAUUUAUCAUUAGUGAAACCACUGUAAGCAGUACCUUUAAGGACGAAUUUAAUCUAAAUCCUCCUGCCUCUAUCAGCAUAAGUUUUAGGGUUUUCUGUUUCACUCAGGAGUAUAAGGCCUGAGUAAUUCCCCCAUCCCAGGUAUUCAUAUACAAAAAGCAAAAACUUACUUACUUCCUGCACAGGCAUUUCUUGACCACUCAGACAUGUAACCACUUUGAACACUAAUGCCAGUUAUAAAUGAGAUGCCUAGGUUUAUCAGCUAGAUGGAAGAAAUACAGUAGCAGCCUUUUCUGAGAAUUAGAAAUGGCAUUACUGGGGAGAUACAGGCAAAAACAAUGUGCUCAAGCAAUAUGUUGAUCUGCAGCUAAGCCUAGAACUUAAAGCCCUAUGGAGUAAGAAAACCAAGCUGGCUCUGUUUAAGUAGCAUUGCUGCAUUUCUGUGGUGCUGUGCCCGUUAGGAGCCGCCCUUCGCUGUAUAUAAAUUUAUCAGCUCUUGUGUAGGAUACUGAAGCGUUUUCUGAUGACGCUAAGACGCCAUUGUUUUACAGACAUCCCAGUGUCUGGAAUUUACCACAAAAUAAUCUUUUCACAGUUAGAUCAUUAAUACACGAUUAAGAGCAGCAUGAACUCUUCUUCUUCAGCCUAGUAUGGCUGUACAACACAUCACAAUUACACCAUAUGUUCCUGAAACUAGGAGUGCAAAAAGUUACGUUAUCAUAAAGCGAGCCUUUCAAAUACAAACCUUAACCUAUCUGCUCUUGUUUGACCUAGGCAAGAGGGAGAAGUCAAGCCUCAGAAUAUCUUAAGUGGCAGUUUCUAUUCCUGAUUGUUUUCUCUGUGAGACCUGAGAGAAUCCGUGGGAGCUUUCAGAACUCUUCCCUUUCUUAAUGUGCUGGCAAGAUCAGGCACAUCACAAUGCAAUGUCAGAAAGAAGAUUGCCUUUUAAAAUUUGUUUUCUUUUAAAAAAUAAAUUAAAAAAAAUAUCAUGCUUUUGAAUUCCUACAAUGAAGGAAAAAACAACCACCUAUCAGCCCUCUCCGCGCCGCAGCAGGGCUGCGGCCCGCAAUGAGCCUGCGCGGGGCUCCCCCUGCUGCGCGCCGCGGGGGAUUCCCGGCAGCGGGAGCGGCCUAAGCAAGCGGCUUUGCGCUGCCACAGCAUGGGCACUGCCGCUCAUCGCUUCUUGUUCUAGGGAAUUUAUUUCACAAUUAUGCCAAGAUAGACUAACAGUGUCAGACUUAAUCGCAAAUUCAAAACAAAUUCAGUUGCAAUUUAUCUGCACAGAACUAAUCUGCACUAUCUGCCCCUCAGGUUAACCAUUCUGCUGUAACUGGUAUUGAUUUUAACACUUUUCAGCUUGUUCUUCCCCUGUACGUUAGUUAAUUCAGACAGACUUCAGAUUUCUCAAGUGGUCUCAAACUUACAGCGUUUUGGGGAGUAUGGUUUUUGGUGUUGUCUCAUUCACUCUCUCUGCACUACCCCACAGUGACCUGUUCUCUGUUUUGUGAUGCUGUAUGAAACAUUGCUCUCCCUCUUGUCUGGGCUAUUAUGCCACAAGUAAUUUCACUUAAGUUCCCUGCUUUCUCCAUUAAAAAAAAAUCAUUGAGAAGGUUGGGGUCUGGCCAUAAUGGUGGUACUUGUUGACUAAAUCAUCAAAGUCUUUGUAUUCGCUCAGUGCCCCCAGGUUUGCCUCCAGCAUUUUCUAGUUUAGCAUUGCUCAGGGUGACUCUGAUUAUGUUGCCUCAUUUGUCCUCAAUAAACCCUUAAAUCUUUUUUUUUUAAGUAUAUAAUUUAAAUGCACCUUAGAACGGAAGGCUCUGAAUUUCGCAUGUGUAUUAGGUCUUUCCUGUACCCUCUUGCAAGCACAUCAACGUGAAGAAGUACCUGUUACUCCCUACAUGGAGACAAUAUGAAGCACGUUGCCCACAGCUGUCUGUAUAAAGGCUCCCUGUGUGUGCUGUAAUGGGAACGAGCUCACCAGUUGAAUAGAGCUACUGAACCAGUUACGGAUGCAGUCUGACAAUCAUAGAACAAACAUGACUCAUUUAAGAACAUUCCCUACCUUCCCUUUUAAUGAGUGGUUUCACCACAGUCAGUAAACUAGAUCUGAAGGGAGAACAAAGAGUUCUUCAGGCAGCUCCACGGUGUUCUCGCACGCCACCUGCCCUGCUGCAGGACUAUGUUUGACAUAUUAAUAGAGCCAACUGUCCUUCCAUAAUUCCCCUUUGGUGUCCCAGCCCCCACAAUGGAAUCACCUCUAGCAGCAGAUACUAAGGUGUUAAUGCUAACAAUAAUAAUAGCAAUACUAACAAAUGAGCAGAACUAUGGCAUGGUUUUAAAACAAACAAACAAAAGCUUUAAAACUACAAAAUACUGGUGUGUUGAAGAGAGAUCAUCGUUUUUUUGUUGUGGGAUAAUAGCGAUGUUAUGUCUCUUCUUGAGAACAGAGUUCUGUAAAUAAGGAGACUUUGGUCUACCUUGACCAAGGCAUCAAGGCUUGGUUGUGUCUUCACACUGAAGAGUGAUCAACUUCCAAACUGAGCUUUCUUAUCGAGGAAGUAAGAAAUGAACCCACGCUACAUCUUUGUUUUCCCACCUUGCGUUAUAUCAACCAUCACUUCACUGAGCUCUUUUAGAGAAAGUAGAUAAUAGAAAUUAUAACAUGUCUGGGUAAACUUUCAAAAAUUGAAUAUUAUUUGUGACAUAUUUUUGGUGUUAUAAAAUCUCAACUCCGCCAAUGCCAAUAACAACAGCAAAUCUUGGUUUUAUAUACAUAUAUGUAAAUAUAAAUAUAUAUGUGUGUGUAACUGAGGCUUUGACUCAUAUUUAGCCACUACAACAUGCAAAUAGCAGGAAAAUCUUCUGAAUGUGCAAUAUACUAGUCCUCCUACAAGGUCUCCUGCUGUUUGUUUCAAUUUUAUUGUAGUGAACUGAUUUUACAUAAUUACGUGCAUAAUUACUUUACUGAGUGUUUUCACUUCACCAGUAAAGACUGUGACUAGAUGGGCAUAGUGCAGUUUUCAAAUAUACUGCAUUAAUGAUCUCCGUAUACAAUUUAUUUACUGUAAUCCACCACGUGGCUGGGGAAAAACAUUGUUUAUAUACAUUUGCAUUCUGUAAUUGACAUUCGCUUUAACUCAAUGUGAAUCUCAAAGUUUGAGUCACAGUUACCUGUAACAAUUUCAUGACAUUCUGUGGAGUGCCAUAUCUCUAGGCCUGAGCACUGAUCUGUGCUCUAAUGAUCAAGUGUGAAGAGUGGAAAAGUCUUCUAAAUGGUGGCACAAACGUGCUUUAAUUGCAUUUUAGAACUUGAAAAUAGAUAUUGUGUCAAUAGAUGGAGUCAGUGUACGAACAAAAAAGAAGCUGAUUCAUUGGCUAUUAGGCUACAGUGAAGUAUAAAAUCUGCCAUUUCAAAAACUUGCUGGUUUUUUUGGUUUGCUGUCUGAGUGCCUUGAAGAGUAGAAUGCAUAUCUGAUCAGAUACCUCAAGUUCUGCUGGUAUUGAGACCCGUCUUCUUAAUUCUAGAGGUAGUAGGCUUAAAUUGGCCUGGUUGAUUUGUAAAUUUUAACUUGCAGGUAAGAAGGAACUGAAUUAGGGAGUUAGGGGCCUUGAGUUGGGUCUUAGUUUAACUGUCCACUAAAUUGCUUAGCUUAUCUUCACUGCCAGAUGAAUUAGGGAGUCAGGGGCCUUGAGCUGGGUCUUCACUGCCAGACAUUGUUUAGUUUAGCUCUCCAUUAUCAGAUUGUUGCAAGUCAGUAAGAGAAGAACAAACAGGAAAACAGUGAAAGGGGGAAUGAUAAGAAACUACAAAGGCAUGCAAGAUAGGAGAGCCUCCCCAAACUGGGACAAAGGUCAAGAUGAAGACUCCUGACUUCAUCCAAGAGCAACCACCGAGUGGGGAGGAAGACAUCGAGCCUUCAUCCAACGACCACCAGAAGGAGCUACAACGCAUGUGCAAAGGGGAGGGACAACAUGCAAAUGAUUUUCCGGAAAAGUAAUGAAUAUGUAACAGGGAUCAAUGAAUAUGUAUACGUUUGGCUUUUAAAUGUCUAACACUUUUGUCUAGGGGUAUGCGAGUUUGGUAGGGCGGUGACCCCCUCGCAUCCGGUGUGGGCGCAGCACCAUAAUAAACAUACCUGCUUUAUAACCUAAUCUCGGGUUACGGAGUUUGAUUCCGCAAGUCAGAACUGAUGACUUAGUUUUUAAAUUAAUCCAAUAAUAGGUAACUUAUAAUAUAUGAUUCAUGGGAAAAGGAAAAAAAGAUCUGACAAAAUUAAAAUUUGCCAUCCGCACUGCAAGAAGAGGGGUGCACUUGCCUUCGAAUAAUUCCGGUUGGAUGAGCAGAGAUGACAAACUUAGCAACUAAAUUUGAUUAACAGCUGAAGUACAUGAGAGCCUGGUGUUCAAAUACAAGCUCUUUAAUUCAGUCAAAACAUGUUGCUUUUAUUAUUAUUCUUUUCCUCAUCUAAGUAACUAACUCAUGCUAGUGAAUCCCAGUGAAACAUAACAAAACGAAGAUAAAAAAAAAUAGGCAGAGGGAAAUUACUGUUUUUCAACUAGACACAUGAGAAGGAGAACAUAUAAGGAAACGCUUUAGCCAACUCACUAGGCACCACCACUCUAGAUGGCAGCACCUGCAAGAAGUGUCUUGGAGGUACAAGCUGGCCUUUCCAAACCUGCUUUGAGCUAACCAGCUGAAGGAAUGCUCUCACAGCAGCUUUAGCAGAGUGGGCUAAAUGAGCACUGAUUGUGCUGCUUGGGUGGGCUUUGUAUGCAUGCUGAGCUCUGUAGCAACUGAUAGUUUCCUCUACUUUAAUGCUGGAUUGAAUAUGCCUUCACAGGUUGACACUAUAAUGCAGACUUACUCCGAGUAAGAGUGCUAUUCCUACACAAGAGGCAUCAGCCUCCCUAACUAGCACUGCUUUCUGCAGUGUCUAAUGAAGCCAGCAAAUGCUACCAAUGUUAUUAGCAACAAUAGCUGGCUAGUAAUGCACCAUGAAAGAGCAGGGCUGGCAACACAACAUAAUCAUUGUAAAUUACCCAGACGGAUAAAAAGGCAGAAAGGCAGUUGGAUAUAUUUUUCAGACCCACUAGAAAAAAUACCCCAAUGCUUACCCAGUUUUCUACCCAGAUAUCAAAGAAAUGAUGAGCCCUACACCAUUUCUAUAAUUGCCUACAGGAGGAAUAUGUCAUGGCUCUGCUUUUUUAGAAAGGAGAAGCACCAAUCAGUCAUUGUGGGGAGCCCAGGACUGGGUUACACACUGUACUGCAGGCACAGCACCAGGUCACAGCCCUGUUGUUCAGGCGUUUGCGGAGCAAUUCAGGUAUCUCAAGAUAUGUGACUUGUGGCCAUGUCUAAUCCAGAAAUUUGUAUGCUUCAGACAAGCCAUUGUGUCGCUAGUAAUAAUCAUUGCUCCAGAAGACAUAUGCCUGACUUAUUUCAUACUGGUGGUGCCUGGAAUAAUGUGAAGCUAUGUAUACGAUUCCAACUUUCAGAAAACUGGUACAGUAGAAAACUUUGUACUGUAUUUGUUCCAGUUGCACAAUCAUUUUUUGAGUAACUGCUUUCCCAUUUUGUGAUUUUUUUUUAAAUACAUUUUAUUGUACAAAUUCCAAAAAGUGGCAAGAAUAGAACUUUAAAUUGAUUCUCUGUGAGGUACACCUUGACCAAAACAAUUGUUUUGUAUCCUUUUAAAGUAAGCAGAACUCAAAUAAUUAAUCUGGUCGAUACGAGGGCAGAAAAGGUACUGGCUUUUUCUGGUAAUGGUAAUCACUGUUCUCCUGCUAGAACUGGUGUGUUCUGCUACAGUGAUGGAUGUGUCUCCUGUUCUGUUUGUUCUGGGAACUUGCUCAGCUGCAGCACGGUGCUACAGUUUGCCUCCAGCUCCUGGUGCAUGCACUCUGACAGGGCUGAGACAGGCGAGGCUCCCAAAGUUUUUGCUUGGUUGAAGCACCUGACUUAGAACCUGUGGUUAGAGGUGUAGCCCGCAGCACACAGACAGAGAUGGCUUGUUUGGGCAUAUGGCAUAAAAAUAAACAACAACAACAAAACAGCAUCCCAUGGAAGCCAAGAACGUCAUUGUAUAUCUCCCCAACACAAAGAACCCUAACAAAGAUAAUUUAAACAGAAAAGAUGAAGUUCUGAAUGUGAAGUACUAACACCAUUAAGUUAAGUUGACCAAACUAUACAGCGUAUCUAAUUAGGAUUAGUCUUUAAAUUAGAAACUUCAGAGGAGUGCAAACUAAAAUAGGGAUCCUGAUAAGCUGACUUGUGCUUCACAACAAAUCCAGUUGCGGGAUCUGGUCCUAAUGCUUCCGCUCCCUGCCCCCUCGCCUCUCCAGGAGUGAAAUACUGCAAGGUACUUUACUCACAAGCUGUUUCUGCAAUAGCUGUUGCUUAAAUAUAUAUGGACCUAAUGGACUUAUCCUUAACACCAGCCACAGUGAGGGAGGGAAGCAGCAUUAACCUCAUUUUGUAGAUAAACAGGGGAAGCCCUGAUGGCUCUCUGCAGCCUUGAAACUGCUGUUACAUCCGAUUGCUGUAUUCACACCAAGGCUGGCAAAGCUUUGGUAACUCCUCUGUGCCUUCUUUUCAUCACAACCUGCGAUGAUGAAGAGAAAGAAGGCUCAGAAUAUGAAUAAACUCAUUAAUGUCUCAGCUACUGCUUGCUCAGCAGUGGAAGGUGUGGGGAGCAGAAGCGUGGGGCAGCCAGCAGCGGGCAAUGCUGCUGCAUGAGGCACAUCUCGGGUCCUCCCCCACCACAGUGCAGGCUAGUGCAGGGCCUGAGCAAAACUCAGCAUCAACAGCACGAGGAAUAUGUGAAUUUUUCACUGUGAGAUGGGAAACGUCAAUACUGAGUGUCUCAGCUGCACAUACGGGAGAUUUAAUGGGGAAUAAAUAUGAAAAGUUAAUUCUUAUACUUGGAAUGGAAAAUAAUUACACUGUAUGGUGUAUGUUGGUGUAUGGGGAACUGGUUUUCCACGAGAGAACCGA